UUACAUCACAAAUGCUUACAAGAAAUUCAAAAGAUGGUGUAAAUAAUAAAAAAUCAAUACAUUAACUGUUAGAUGCAUUUAUCAGUAUGUUUUAAUAAAAUAAAAUGUAUUUCAGCAAUGCAUUCUCAAGAAGGAAGAGAUUAAUGAACCCUACCCUCUUACAAUGAACAACACAUGGACACUCUCCGGAUGUUCCCUUUGCUUUUAUUAAGAGUUCCAAGAUGUUGGUCUGAUUGACUGGUGUGUGAAAUGUAACAGCCAAUGGUGUACUUAAGCCCGAACUGUCAGUCCCAAUAUUCAAGAGCAAUGCAUUCUCAAGAAGGAAGAGAACUCUUCGGAUGAUCCCUUUGCUUUUAUUAAGAGUUCCAAGAUGUGGGUCUGAUUGACUGGUGUGUGAAAUGUAACAGCCAAUGGUGUACUUAAGCUGGAACUGUCAGUCCCAAUAUUCCGGAGAUGUGGGUCUGAUUGACUGGUGUGUGAAAUGUAACAGCCAAUGGUGUACUUUAGCUGGAACUGUCAGUCCC